AGUGAACGCUGGCGGUAGGCCUAACACAUGCAAGUCGAACGGCGGCACAGUAAGAGCUUGCUCUUACGGGUGGUGAGUGGCGGACGGGUGAGGAAUACAUCGGAAUCUACUUUUUCGUGGGGGAUAACGUAGGGAAACUUACGCUAAUACCGCAUACGACCUACGGGUGAAAGCAGGGGAUCUUCGGACCUUGCGCGAUUGAAUGAGCCGAUGUCGGAUUAGCUAGUUGGCGGGGUAAAGGCCCACCAAGGCGACGAUCCGUAGCUGGUCUGAGAGGAUGAUCAGCCACACUGGAACUGAGACACGGUCCAGACUCCUACGGGAGGCAGCAGUGGGGAAUAUUGGACAAUGGGCGCAAGCCUGAUCCAGCCAUACCGCGUGGGUGAAGAAGGCCUUCGGGUUGUAAAGCCCUUUUGUUGGGAAAGAAAAGCAGCAGGUUAAUACCCCGCUGUUCUGACGGUACCCAAAGAAUAAGCACCGGCUAACUUCGUG
rnacentral:rRNA from 1 species